CGGCCUCCCAAAGUGCUGAGAUUACAGGUGUGAGCCUUCACACCCAGCCAUGCUUAUCAUUACUCUUAAUAGAGCUUAUGAGACUAUAACUAAAAUAAUCAUAGUUUCCAACUGAAAAAUUUUUGAACUUCAUGAUCUGUGGAAUAAAGGACUUAUGAGAUAAAAUAUGAAAUCUGGACCUUUCCAGAUAAUUUAGGACAUAUCAUUGCCCCAACCAAAACACAUAGGCAAACUCAUGGGCAUGUAUUAAUAAUUACCUUUAUGCUCUUGAAAUUGUAAUUGUGACCUCCCUUAAUUUAGAGGCUCAUUAAGGAAGGAUUAAGUUUAUGUUGCUAUCUCUUGAGUAAAGUUUCAAAAGUAAGGUUUAAAUCAGGGAAUGGGUCAGAAUAGCUAUAUUCUCUUUUUCAGUUCUGGGUGGUUUCUCUUUUUUUUUUUUUUUCUUUUUUUGAGACGGAGUCUCGCUGUCGCCCAGGCUGGAGUGCAGUGGCGUGAUCUCAGCUCAGCUCAUUGCAACCUCCACCUCUGGGUUCAAGCGAUUCUCAUGCCUCAGCCUCCCAAAUAGCUGGGAUUACAGGCACGUGCCACCACACCCAGCUAAUUUUUUUGUAUUUUUAGUAGAGAUGGGGUUUCACUGUGUUAGCCAGGAUAGUCUCGAUCUCCUGACCUCGUGAUCUGCCUGCCUCGGCCUCCCAAAGUGCUGGGAUUACAGGCAUGAACAACUGCGCCUGGCUUCUGGUGGUUUUUAUAGCAAUCUGUAGCAAGAUAGAUACAGAGCUAUGGGAGUGGAAAAAUUCCUCUUACUUUUUUCCUUUUGCUUUUUAUUUUUAUUUAUUUUUUAUUUUAUUUUUUUGAGACAGAGCUUCACUCUUGUUGCCCAGGCUGGAGUGCAACGGCACGAUAUCAACUCACUGCAACCUCCGCCUCCUGGGUUCAAGUGAUUCUCCUGCCUCAGCUUCCCGAGUAGCUGGGAUUACAGGUGUGCGCCACCACGCCUGGCUAAUUUUUUGUAUUUUCAGUAGCGAUGGGUUUCGCCAUGUUGGUCAGGCUGGUCUCAAAUUCCUGACCAUAUGUGAUCCACCCGCCUCUGCCUUCCAAAGUACUGGGAAUACAGGUGUGAGCCACCGCACCCAGCCUUCUUUUUUGUUGUUGUUUUUUUGAGAGGGAGUCUCACUCUCACCCAGGCUGGAGUGCAAUGGCGUGGUCUCAGCUCGCUGUAACCUCCACCUCCCGGGUUCAAGUGAUUCUCCCGCCUCAGCCUCCCAAGUCGCUGGGACUACAAGCACAUGCCACCACACCCGGCUAAUUUUUGUAUUUUA
rnacentral:lncRNA from 1 species